rnacentral:rRNA from 1 species
AGUCAUAUGCUUGUCUCAAAGAUUAAGCCAUGCAUGUCUCAGUACAAGCCGAAUUAAGGUGAAACCGCGAAAGGCUCAUUAAAUCAGUUAUGGUUCCUUAGAUCGUACCCACAAUUACUUGGAUAACUGUGGUAAUUCUAGAGCUAAUACAUGCAAACAGAGCUCCGACCGGAGACGGAAGGAGCGCUUUUAUUAGAUCAAAACCAAUCGGCGUCGGGCUCGCUCGUCGUCGUACAACUUGGUGAAUCUGAAUAACUUUCUGCUGAUCGCAUGGUCUCGCACCGGCGACGCAUCUUUCAAAUGUCUGCCUUAUCAACUGUCGAUGGUAGGUUCUGCGCCUACCAUGGUUGUAACGGGUAACGGGGAAUCAGGGUUCGAUUCCGGAGAGGGAGCCUGAGAAACGGCUACCACAUCCAAGGAAGGCAGCAGGCGCGCAAAUUACCCACUCCCGGCACGGGGAGGUAGUGACGAAAAAUAACGAUACGGGACUCAUCCGAGGCCCCGUAAUCGGAAUGAGUACACUCUAAACCCUUUAACGAGGAUCAAUUGGAGGGCAAGUCUGGUGCCAGCAGCCGCGGUAAUUCCAGCUCCAAUAGCGUAU